GUACGGGGGGGUAAGCGUUGUUCGGAAGUUACUGGGCGUAAAGGGCUCGUAGGCGGCCAACUAAGUCAGACGUGAAAUCCCUCAGCUUAACUGGGGAACUGCGUCUGAUACUGGAUGGCUUGGAUUCGGGAGAGGAAUGCGGAAUUCCAGGUGUAGCGGUGAAAUGCGUAGAUAUCUGGAGGAACACCGGUGGCGAAGGCGGCAUUCUGGACCGACAUUGACGCUGAGGAGCGAAAGCCAGGGGAGCAAACGGG
rnacentral:rRNA from 1 species